CCUCAGCCCAGGGCGUGACCCUGGAGACCUGGGAUCGAGUCCUGCGUCGGGCUCCCGGCAUGGAGCCUGCUUCUCCCUCUGCCUGUGUCUCUCUGUCUCAUGAAUAAAGAAAAAAGAAAAAAAGCGGAAUUGUAGAAUUGGGUUAAUCUUAUACAAUGAACCCAUGGAAAAACCCCAUCUCACUCCUAAAUUCCCAAGGACGGAGCGAGGAAACUCCUGAUUGGCCCAGCUUGGAGUGGGAGACGCUCAGUUUAUUAAUCAACAGAGACCAAUAGAAAAAAAUCUUACUGUGUGAAGUGGCUGUCAGCAUCCCCUGGCUGGAGUGAGGAUGAUCGGUGGCGAUAAGAAGAUCAGCAAUAAUACCGACCUUGCAGGUGAUUCCCUGAGAGGAGCAGAGACAUAUCUAGAGUACCCAGCCCUGUACUUGGCACACUCAGGAAAUGACCCUACCUGCUGUGCAGCAUUUGCAUCUUGUGCUAAAGUAUCUGGAUCGUACAUUGGUUCCAGAGCUUCCAGAGCUUUCUCAGGACGGCCCAGCUGCUGCUGAAGGGUGGAAAGUGAAAUUCUUGCAUCCAAAUGAAGGGGAGCCAGAUCAACCACUUUGCCAUAGCUUUCUGCAGCACGUUCCAUAUAGCCUAAGGCCUUUAAACAUUCUAUGAUGUUAAAAUAAAGCAUAAAUAUGAUCUA